GUGGCUGUAGCUCAGCGGUAGAGCACCUGGUUGUGGUCCAGGGGGUCGCGGGUUCAAUCCCCGUCAGCCACC
rnacentral:tRNA from 2 species